AUGGCGGUGGAGGCGGUGGAGGAGGUGCCGGAGCCGGCGCCGGCGGCCCCGUCGGGGCGGCCGGCGGUGGGGCCGAGGACGAAGGGGCGUCGGCGCCGGGUGACGGCGCCUUGGAACCUGGCGCAGCCGCCCACGCUGCCGCCGCCGCUCCCGGCGGCGCGGCGGUGCACGCACUGCGCGUCGGAGGUGACCCCGCAGUGGCGGCAGGGGCCGCUGGGGCCCCGCACGCUGUGCAACGCGUGCGGCGUGCGGUACAAGACCGGGCGGCUGCUCCCGGAGUACCGGCCGGCCAACAGCCCCACCUUCUCCCCGCUGCUGCACUCCAACUCCCACCGCCGCGUCAUGCAGAUUCGGCUCCGGAGCGACAGCGAGGGCGAGGGCGAGGGCGCCUCCCCCGCCGUCCGCGCCACCGCCAAGGCCCGCCGCGCCGAGCGCGCGGCGGCGCGCCUCUCCGCCAAGAACGACGACGGCGCCCCUGCCCCGGCCCCGGCCCCAGCCCCUGGCCCUGCCCAGGCGCCGCUGCCGUAG
rnacentral:rRNA from 1 species